rnacentral:rRNA from 1 species
ACCGUCCCAGUUCAGAUUGCAGUCUGCAACUCGACUGCAUGAAGUCGGAAUCGCUAGUAAUCGCGGAUCAGCAUGCCGCGGUGAAUACGUUCCCGGGCCUUGUACACACCGCCCGUCACACCAUGAGAGUCGGGAACACCCGAAGUCCGUAGCCUAACCGCAAGGGGGGCGCGGCCGAAGGUGGGUUCGAUAAUUGGGGUGAAGUCGUAACAAGGUACC